GUCUCAGGCCGUAUCAGCCUGAAGGCGCCCGAUCUCGUCUGAUCUCGGAAGCUAAGCAGGGUCGGGCCUGGUUAGGAUCUUGGAUGGGAACCACCUGGGGAAUCCCGGGGUCUCGAGGCU
rnacentral:rRNA from 1 species